GGAUGGCAGAGAUCUGGGAAGAAAAAGAGGGCAGUGCUUUGUGAGGGCACUUGACAGCAGCGUGUCAUAUCUACCCAGGCCUGGAAGCCAGCUGGGGACCUCUCCUCUGCCUUGAAGAUGCAUCAUUUAUCCCCUGGCUGUCUCAGCUAUAGCCAGACUAUUCCUGACUGCUGUUUGCCCAACUUGUCCUGUAAAGCCUCUGGUGAUGAAGACACUAGACUCUCCCUAGGCAGAUAUUGAUUGCUGGCCCACGUCCUGUGUAUUUUCACUCUCCUAUCUUCUUUUGAUUUGCCACGCUCCUUGAAGCCAGAAGUUCAGGACUCACACUUCAAUCUUUACACACCCCUGUUCUCCCAAAUGCACAUGUUCAGCGAGCACUGCAGCGUGUGUGAAGCUCAUUGUGCUGCUCACCAGAUAUCAGUGCAGAGGAUACACAGACCUUCUCACCACCAGUGGAGGGUCCAGAGGAAAUACAGCUGAAUUUCAGAAACCCAUCUAAGUAUAACGAUUUCUUUUAUUUUUUCUUAAUAAUAUUUUCCCUAAUUUCCUAAGCAAUUCCACUGCAACAGGAACCUUAGGAAACAGCCAUAGUACUUCUCAAAAGACUGCAGAAAAAUUUUGAGGAUCGCUUGGGCUGACACCAAUGCCCACGUGAGGUUUCUAGGCUGUGGUGAAAUCACUCCUACUUGCAGACACUGCUGGCGGGAUGCCAGUGCACCGAGCUGCUGGGACAGGGGCAGGGAAAUCUGGACCAGUUGUGAGGCCCAGCUGUGGCUCUGCCCUCAAGCCUGGCCUUUCAUGUGCAGCUGUGGGGUUUACCAUUGAAGAGAAAAAAAAGGGGAAAUGUAUAUUAGCUUAAAACAUCUUAGGAAACAGCAUUUUUUAAUACAUUCAGUAAAACAUAGAGUACACUAGAGUUUUGAAAUGUUAUUGUUCACACAAACACUUUCAAGGCCCUGUGUAUUUGAGAUAUGACACAGUCAAUUACUUAAUCAAAUGCUUUUUUCCCUGUAAAAAAUGAACAGUGGAAAAAAAAAAAAA